GGAGGAAGAUGUUGAUGAAUUCAGCUCCAGUGGUUUUAAGUGCCCAACAUGCUUUGCAGUGCAAGGAAGGAAAUGCGAUACAGAACUCAAAUGGUGUGCAGCAGAUAAAAUAAAGUGUAUUGAAUUCUCUGGCAUCAUAAACACAGGUAUUCGUGACGUAGCCAUUGAAAUGAAGAGAUGCACACAAGCAGACCUAUGCAAAGAGACGAUAACUUCUUAGAUGGGUUUUCCAAUUGCUAACAAGAGUAGAAAUUGCAAAUCAGCCAUCAGAAAUGGGGCCAGAAUCAGACCCCCAUCUCCCAUCUUCUUUGUUCUUUUCCUGGGGAGGGUACUUCAUGGAGCUCUGGCAAGAGCCUAGCCACUUCCAUUUAUGAAUUAAACCUGAAUUUUUUUGUUAA